AUUGAACGCUAGCGGCAUGCCUUACACAUGCAAGUCGAACGGAGUGGCGAACGGGUGAGUAAUGUAUCGGAACGUGACCCGUAGCGGGGGAUAACUACGCGAAAGCGUAGCUAAUACCGCAUACUAUUGGAGCGGCGGGUCCCGGAUUAGCUAGUUGGUGGGGUAAGGGCUCACCAAGGCGACGACCCGUAGCUGGUUUGAGAGGACGAACAGCCAAACGGGGACUGAGACACGGCCCAGACUCCUACGGGAGGCAGCAGUGGGGAAUAUUGGACAAUGGGGGAAACCCUGAUCCAGCCAUUCCGCGUGUGCGAUGAAGGCCUUCGGGUUGUAAAGCACUUUUGGCGGGAAAGCGGUACCUGCAGAAUAAGCACCGGCUAACUACGUGCCAGCAGCCGCGGUAAUAC
rnacentral:rRNA from 1 species